rnacentral:rRNA from 1 species
CAAUAGUGAUGUCUGACGGAGCACGCCGCGUGAGUGAUGAAGGUUUUCGGAUCGUAAAGCUCUGUUGUUAGGGAAGAACAAGUGCCGUUCAAAUAGGGCGGCACCUUGACGGUACCUAACCAGAAAGCCACGGC